GUAGGGAGCAAGCGUUGUUCGGAAUUAUUGGGCGUAAAGAGCGCGUAGGCGGCUUGGCAAGUCUGGUGUGAAAUCUCACAGCUCAACUGUGAAACUGCAUCAGAAACUGCCAGGCUUGAGUGCGGGAGAGGAAAGUGGAAUUCCCAGUGUAGAGGUGAAAUUCGUAGAUACUGGGAGGAACACCGGUGGCGAAGGCGGCUUUCUGGACCGCAACUGACGCUGAGGCGCGAAAGCUAGGGGGGAGCAAACGGGAUUAGAUACCCCGGUAGUCCUAGCCGUAAACGAUGGGCACUAGGUGUAGGGGGGUAUUGACCCCUUCUGUGCCGCAGCUAACGCAUUAAGUGCCCCCGCCUGGGAGUACGGUCGCAAGACUA
rnacentral:rRNA from 1 species